AAUGGACGAAAGUCUGACCGAGCGAUGCCGCGUGCGGGAUGAAGGCCCUCGGGUUGUAAACCGCUGUCAGUUGGGAGGAAGGCUCCGUGAAGAGCGGAGUUUGACCUAUCUUCAGAGGAAGUCCGGGCUAAGUUCGUGCCAGCAGCCGCGGUAACACGAACCGGACAAACGUUAUUCGGAAUUAUUGGGCUUAAAGGGUGCGUAGGCGGUGCGGUAAGUGAGGUGUGAAAGCCCACGGCUCAACCGUGGAAUUGCGCUUCAUACUGCCGUGCUAGAGGGAGACAGAGGUAAGCGGAACUGAUGGUGGAGCGGUGAAAUGCGUUGAUAUUAUCAGGACACCGGUGGCGAAAGCGGCUUACUGGGUCUCUCUGACGCUGAGGCACGAAAGCUAGGGUAGCGAACGGGAUU
rnacentral:rRNA from 1 species